UUAGGAAGCGUUUGCAGCGGCAAAACCGCCACAAAGUAACGCUUCAAACCAUCGACUGCAAACGUGCAACAACAUCUUAGCUGAAUGCCAGGACACCAUCGAAACAACAACAACGAAAUAGAACCCACCUUACACAACUGCAAUCGCUUGAAAAUACCGCUUAUCAUCAUAGUAUCCAUACACUGCUCACCCUAAUCUAAGUCAUCGCUUGGAAAAAUGCGCUCACUAUAGCUUUGCCUUUCGGAGACUGUUUGCUCGUUCUGGUGACACGGCAUACAGAGAGUCACUUAUCGUUGGUACUACAUGCUAGCUCAACAACGCUUCGAAUGAGUCCGUAAUAUUGUCAUUGCCGCAUCGUCAGCGUCGCGUAUUAGCAGCAUGGCCUUGGCGGUCACCGAUGUCACUCACUCAUGCGCCACCAGCCCUUCGCGUCCGUCCAUCGUUGACAUUUUUGUCAAUUCGUUUAUUUCAAUUGAAAAAAAAAAAUAAAAAGACAGAUAAUAGGUCUUAAUGUGAUAGAAAGAGGUGGGGUCGUGCUUCGCUACUGUCUGCUCGGGCGAAACAAGGAAAGGUCUGAAGCGAGCCCAAAUAGAAAAAGAAAUUUAUGUGAGGUCUUUUCAAGGAAUGCUAUUUGCGGCUCUGUGCAGACGAAUCGCACUUUAUAACAGUUCCCUUAGCCAUAAAAAAUGAUGCGUGUCGAUAAACAGCUCUUCACGAUAUUACCGUCAUGAUAUUAGCGACCAGCGCGGCAAAGUAUUACUGCAAUAUAUGACACAGAAGAAACCAUCACAUUCUCAGCCUUCGUCAGUUCAGCUCGAAACGUCACAAUUACUCUCAGAAGACAUGGUUAAAUGUCAACCCAGUAACUAAUUUCCCUAAAAAACAAGUAUUUUUGUCUACACAAAAUCCCGUCUUGCGAAGCGCAUCGGAAAAAUGUGGCGAGAAAUGGCCAAUUUUCAACUAAUUGUCCAUUUACGGCCGAAUAUGUAUAUGCCAUUUAAUAGAUAUGUUGCAAACGGGAUGUAAGUCGGGAAUUACCUGAAGAAAGCAUUCAGUGACCUUUGCAAGAGACAUCAUCGAUAAGAGUCGAUCGCGCAGAAAGGGCACUGGCUAAACGGGCGGGUCCUCAUGCGUUCAUCAGAGGAAUAUUUGCCGAGCCGUCUUUAAAGCGAAUGCUUUAUUGUGGAGCCGGCAAUGCAAGAUACCUACUUCACUCAGCCGACCUUAUUGCUUGGAUUGGCUUAAAUCACACUUGAAACAGUGGAACAGCAAUACAUGAAUUGACAAAAAGUUGAAUAUGUACACAGCUGCUCGUCAAAUUGAAACUCAAGAAUAUUUAAGAGUGCACCAGCUGAAGGCAGGAGACACUUGUACACGGGUAUUUAUUACUUGUAGGAUCUUAAUUGAACGUUCGACGAAGACCUAUUUAGGCUCAACAAACUUCACCAUGCAAUAUAUCUUUACGAUUACAUUUUUACAAUAAAGGGUUUUAAAGACGCGCAUCCAGUCCUGUGUUUCUAUCUGUACCUAGGUUUAUGCAAACUCUAGUGCAACAUGCGCGACACAGCUUACAGUUAAUUGGACGAAA
rnacentral:lncRNA from 1 species